UUAGCACCUUUUAUAUGUUAGGGUACAAAGAAAACUUGUGGGCUGAAAUGUCCAAUGAUGUCUCAGACAAACUCUUCACAGAAAGGAGAGUGUCAGUAAAAUGUGUUGAGCGUAAAGUUGUCAGUAGGGGAAUAAUAUAGGGCUGUGAAUGAGCCCUGUCACUGUGAUCAGGCUCCUCCUUCUAAUCCACCAACUUAGUGUUGAUGAACUCAGAGAGAUCACAGCCUUCUUUUUACUUGCUGGAGCUCACAGUUACUCAACACUGCACAUAUGAUGCCUCUGUUCAUCUCAGUGUUGCUGGCUGCUGUGUGCCUUGAAUGCAGAGCACAAAAAGACAACGUGCUGCAACGUGAACGACAUGUGACUGCUACUGAAGGACAGGCAGUAACACUUGGCUGUCAAUAUAACAGCAGUUCAAACAAUGAGUACCUCUUCUGGUACAAACAAGAUGGAAACAACAGCCCCAAAUUCAUACUGAGCCGCUUUAAGUUUGGCCAGGGGAAAACAGAAGACGAGGAGAGAUUUUCAUCCACACUGAAUUCCACCUCAAGAUCAGUUCCUCUGGAGAUCCAGAAGCUUCAGCUGUCUGACUCUGCUGUGUACUACUGUGCUCUGCAGCCCACAGUGACAGGAAACACCAAAACUCUGUACAAAAACCUUUGGAGCAAAGACAACACAAUACUCCACAACAUCCACUAGAGGGAGUCACACACUGUUAAACUUCAAUGGGAUGU